rnacentral:rRNA from 1 species
UGCAGUCGACGAUGAUCCGGUGCUUGCACCGGGGAUUAGUGGCGAACGGGUGAGUAACACGUGAGUAACCUGCCCUUGACUCUGGGAUAAGCCUGGGAAACUGGGUCUAAUACCGGAUAUGACUCCUCAUCGCAUGGUGGGGGGUGGAAAGCUUUUGCGGUUUUGGAUGGACUCGCGGCCUAUCAGCUUGUUGGUGAGGUAAUGGCUCACCAAGGCGACGACGGGUAGCCGGCCUGAGAGGGUGACCGGCCACACUGGGACUGAGACACGGCCCAGACUCCUACGGGAGGCAGCAGUGGGGAAUAUUGCACAAUGGGCGAAAGCCUGAUGCAGCGACGCCGCGUGAGGGAUGACGGCCUUCGGGUUGUAAACCUCUUUCAGUAGGGAAGAAGCGAAAGUGACGGUACCUGCAGAAGAAGCGCCGGCUAACUACGUGCCAGCAGCCGCGGUAAUACGUAGGGCGCAAGCGUUAUCCGGAAUUAUUGGGCGUAAAGAGCUCGUAGGCGGUUUGUCGCGUCUGCCGUGAAAGUCC